rnacentral:rRNA from 1 species
UACGUAGGUGGCGAGCGUUGUCCGGAUUUACUGGGCGUAAAGAGCGCGCAGGCGGUCGUACAAGUCGCGUGUGAAAGCCCCCGGCUCAACUGGGGAGGGUCACGCGAUACUGUUCGACUCGAAGGCAGGAGAGGGUAGUGGAAUUCCCGGUGUAGAGGUGAAAUUCGUAGAUAUCGGGAGGAACACCAGUGGCGAAGGCGGCGAUCUGGGAAGAUACUGACGCUGAGGUGCGAAAGCGUGGGGAGCAAACAGG